rnacentral:rRNA from 1 species
GUGCCAGCAGCCGCGGUAAUACGAAGGGGGCUAGCGUUGUUCGGAUUUACUGGGCGUAAAGCGCGUGUAGGCGGGUCGUUAAGUUGGGGGUGAAAUCCCGAGGCUCAACCUCGGAACUGCCUCCAAAACUGGCGACCUGGAGCAAAGAAGAGGCGAGUGGAAUUCCGAGUGUAGAGGUGAAAUUCGUAGAUAUUCGGAGGAACACCAGUGGCGAAGGCGACUCGCUGGUCUUUUGCUGACGCUGAGACGCGAAAGCGUGGGGAGCAAACAGGAUUAGAUACCCUGGUAGUCCACGCUGUAAACGAUGAGAGCUAGUUGUCGGCACGCAUGCGUGUCGGUGACGCAGCUAACGCAUUAAGCUCUCCGCCUGGGGAGUACGGCCGCAAGGUUAAA